rnacentral:rRNA from 1 species
GGCAGACGGCUCAGUAACGCGUAGUCAACCUAACCUAUGGACGGGGAUAACCUCGGGAAACUGAGAAUAAUACCCGAUAGAACAUUAUGCCUGGAAUGGUUUAUGUUUCAAAUAAUUUAUUGCCGUAGGAUGGGACUGCGGCCUAUCAGUUUGUUGGUGAGGUAAUGGCCCACCAAGACUAUUACAGGUACGGGCUCCGAGAGGAGUAGCCCGGAGAUGGGUACUGAGACACGGACCCAGGCCCUAUGGGGCGCAGCAGGCGAGAAAACUUUGCAAUGUGCGAAAGCACGACAAGGUUAAUCCGAGUGGUUUCUGCUAAAGGAACCUUUUGCCAGUCCUAGAAACACUGGUGAAUAAGGGGUGGGCAAGUUCUGGUGUCAGCCGCCGCGGUAAAACCAGCACCUCAAGUGGUCAGGAUGAUUAUUGGGCCUAAAGCAUCCGUAGCCUGCUUUGUUAGUUUUCGGUUAAAUCCAUUCGCUCAACGAAUGGGCUGCCGGGAAUACUGCAAAGCUAGGGAGUGGGAGAGGUAGACGGUACUCGGUAGGAAGGGGUAAAAUCCUUUGAUCUAUUGAUGACCACCUGUGGCGAAGGCGGUCUACCAGAACACGUCCGACGGUGAGGGAUGAAAGCUGGGGGAGCAAACCGGAUUAGAUACCCGGGUAGUCCCAGCUGUAAACUAUGCAAACUCAGUGAUGCAUUGGCUUGAUGCCAAUGCAGUGCUGCAGGGAAAGCCGUUAAGUUUGCCGCCUGGGAAGUACGUACGCAAGUAUGAAACUUAAAGGAAUUGGCGGGGGAGCACCACAAGGGGUGAAGCCUGCGGUUCAUGGAUU